UGACACUUCCCAGACACGCUGCCUGUAUUCUGCUGUGUUCUGUGGGCCCAUGACUUCCCUUACUACUCUCUUCCCUCACUUUCUUCAAGAAAGCUUUUAAGAGAGUGUCUUUUCUAGUCCAAAAAGAAGUGACUACUUAAAAAGUCCCAAAUGACUUCACAGGGCCAAAAAAGGAAGAGGUGGAUAGGAGACCAUCGAAAUAAUUCUUCAAGUUUAUCAGAGUUUUACAUAUGGGCAUGAAAGAGCAUUGAGGACUUGGAGAAACCAUUUUAACAUCAUCUACCACUGAAACAACACAAUCUAAACCUUCAGUUCAGGAAGAACACAAGUUAGAGAGAAAAAUAAUGCAGAAAAAAAAUCAAUUACCCUAUUUUUGAGAUAAAGUAACUGUUGGAUAAAUGGACAUGGAAAAGGAGAAAUUAAGAUGAAAAAUAAUUGCAAAAACAAAAAACAAAGAAAGAAGAUUGAUAAUUGAGAAGAUAGUUAUGACAAAGGGCUACCAUAAGCCACUGGGCACCUGCAGUGAAGAUAGAAGAUAAAGUCUUCCUCCAAGUAUCUCUUUAAAAAAAAAAAAAAAAAAAGCUCUGUCUUCAUAAGAAUGUCAUCAAUGCUGGGACGCCUGGGUGGCUCAGUUGGUUGAGCAGCUGCCUUCGGCUCGGGUCAUGAUCCCAGCAUCCUGGGAUCGAGUCCCACAUCGGGCUCCUUGCUCAGCGGGGAGCCUGCUUCUCCCUCUGCCUCUGCCUGCCAUUCUGUCUGCCUGUGCUCGCUCUCUCCCCCUCUCUCUCUCUGAUAAAUAAAUAAA